rnacentral:rRNA from 1 species
UACGGAGGGAGCUAGCGUUGUUCGGAAUUACUGGGCGUAAAGCGCACGUAGGCGGCUUUGUAAGUUAGAGGUGAAAGCCCGGGGCUUUAACUUGGGAAUUGCGCUCGAAACUACUUUGCUGGAGUGUGGCAGAGGAAGGUGGAAUUCCACGUGUAGCGGUGAAAUGCGUAGAGAUGUGGAGGAACACCAAUGGCGAAGGCAGCCUUCUGGGCCAACACGUGACGCUCAUGCACGAAAGCGUGGGGAGCAAACAGG